AAAGCGCGCGUAGGCGGCUUGUUAAGUCGGAUGUGAAAUCCCUGGGCUCAACCUAGGCAUUGCAUUCGAUACUGGCAAGCUAGAGUAUGGGAGAGGAAGGUAGAAUUCCAGGUGUAGCGGUGAAAUGCGUAGAGAUCUGGAGGAAUACCGAUGGCGAAGGCAGCCUUCUGGCCUAAUACUGACGCUGAGGUGCGAAAGCAUGGGGAGCAAACAGGAUUAGAUACCCCAGU
rnacentral:rRNA from 1 species